rnacentral:tRNA from 1 species
GCGCAUGUGGCGUAAUUGGCAGCCGCGUCAGACUUAGGAUCUGAUGUCUUCGGACGUGGGGGUUCGAGUCCCUUCAUGCGCA